UGUAGACUUGCCUAGUUUGUGAAAAGAGAUGGUUUAAUAAACAAAGGCCCAUUCACAUGCUGCCAAUCUCAAAUUUGCCUGCCUGUAACCCGGUCUUCUCCACACACACACACACACAGACACACACAAACAAGCUUCUACAUUUUUUGAAGCAUCUUCAGGAGUGUAUCAUUAAGUAACAUUUUCAGCUGCUUUCAUUUCAUGUAGUUUUUUUUCUUCCUCCUUGCUCUGCGUGUCCAAACAUUAAAAUACGUUUAUGAAAAAAGCUGAAAAUAAUUUCCUAAAAGACAUUGGGGGCGGCCCCAAUGCCUUUGGCCUCUUGAGAACUCAGAAAGAAUCUUAUAAUACUAGAAUGUGGGUGACAGGAGUCUUGGUUCUUGAAUUUAAAAAAUGUACAGAGAAGAUUUUGAAACAAAAAACUGUAAAUAGAAAGUGUAAAUAAAUCCUAUAUAUGACAAAAUUGCUUUGAA